rnacentral:lncRNA from 1 species
CAGCAGAAGAAGAGGAAGAAGAAGGAGAACAAGAAGAAAAAGAGGAAGAGGAAGAAGAAGAGGAAGAAGAAGGAGAAGGAGAAGGAGCAGCAGCAGCAGCGGAAGAGGAAGAGGAAGAAAAGAAAGAAGAAAGAAGAAAGAAGGAGAAGGAGAAGGAGAAGAAAGAAGAAAGAAGAAAGAAGAAGAAGAAGAAGAGGGAGAAGAAGAAGAAGAAACAGCACAUCUGGAGGGACUUGGAAGAAAAGACAGAGACGCGAAGAGAGACGGACAAUACAGCGACAGCGACAUGAAGAGAAACAGAAUGACUCAAAGACCAGGCACAGAAACAGAGACACAGAGACAAAGGCAGAGACAGAAAAAGGCUCAGCGACCCAGAGACGGAGAUACAGAGACACAGACCUACUACAAUCAGAGGGACAAG